UGUUCUGUAGCUUAGUUGGUUAAAGCGCCGUUCUAGCGUACACGGAGUCGUGAGUUCGAGUCUCACUAGAACGC
rnacentral:tRNA from 1 species